AUGCACCUUCUACGUAGGGAUGUCAACUGGUUGGAUUCGGGGUAGAUUUUCAAAAAUCCAAAUCCGAAACCGAACCCGAACCCGACAAAUUUUAAAAAUCCAUAUCCAAACCGUAGCCCCACUAAAAAUUCGAAACCCGAACCUGAACACGAACCCAAACCCGAAAAUCUGAACUGGAAAUAAUUAUUUCUCUUUUCAAUAUUUCAAAAUAUAUUACAUUAAAUCUAAAUUUUUAAAAUACAAAUUCAAAUAUAACAUCAAUUUAUUAUAUACAUGUUAUAUUUUCGGGUUUGGGUUCGAGGCGGAUACAGUCAAAAUUCAUAUCCGAAUUCAUAUCCAUCGACUUAUUGUUUUUGAUAUCCAUAUCUGAAACCAUAUCCGUUUAGCAUCAGAUAAAUCUGCUCCAUUCGGGUUCGGGAUCGAAUAAAAUUUCGGGUAUCCGAACCCAUUGACAUCGUUGCUCCU
rnacentral:lncRNA from 1 species